GGAGGGAUGACCGAGCGGCCUAAGGUGACAGGCUUGAAACCUGUGGGGCAUCCGCGCCUCGGGGGUUCGAAUCCCACUCCCUCCG
rnacentral:tRNA from 1 species